rnacentral:tRNA from 1 species
AUAUGUCCAAGUGGUUAAGGAGACAAACUUAAAAUCUGUUGGCUUUCGCCCGCACAGGUUCGAACCCUGCUUU